UGUGCGUGUGUGUGUGUGCAUGUGUGUGCGUGUGCGUGUGUGUGUGUGUGCGUGUGUGUGUGUGGGAAGAAGAACAGGUGGCAAAGCCUAAUGUAUCUUCAUUAGCGACAGUGUGCGAGGUGCCAAACGUUGCUGACCUUUCCCAGGAAGUGUUUCCGGAAGAUGGUGGCUGUCGUGUUACACUCCAGCUUGGUGCGGCUGCUCGGCGACAGAGGCGACGGCGGCUCGGGCUCCAGGCCGUCGCUCAGCUCGUGGUUGGUCCCCUCGAUCCAGAACCCUCCGAACUGAGGCAGCAGGAUGAGGGGGAACGGACUUCUUCUGCCCAGCACCUGCUCCCGAAAGGCAAAACAGAGACGGGCGUGAAAGUAACGUUUCUGUGUCUGAGGCUGCGGAGCAGUCAGUUGGAGUUCUAACUAACUCUGACUUGAGAGCGUUUCACUGCAUUAUGAAUAACACUGAGCCGAAGGAGAACUGUGUCAGCGAGUCGGCCGGUCUGGUGGAGCAGCGGCGACACAACGACAUCAUCACGUGAGGAAGA